AAGUCGUAACAAGGUUUCCGUAGGUGAACCUGCGGAAGGAUCAUUAACACGUAUCCACGUAUCAACCAAUGAGAACCUGUUUUCCCGUCUCCCUGUGCAAAGAAUGAAUUGGAACCAGUUUGAGGGAGUGAUGGGACCGAAAGGUCGGCCUUCCUGGUACACUUACGUAAAUAGAAAUGUUUGCGUAGACAAUUGUAUUUUUGUUACAGGCUAUUUCUUAUCGCUUUGAUCCCCAUCAUGAUCGUGGCGGUAGGGAAACUUUCACUAAAUUUACCUUUUUUGCUAGUUGACUUUUUAUAUGUGUUGUCUUGCGAAAGCAUGGUGGCACACGUUUAUUAAUUGAACGUUAAAAAAUACAACUCUUAGCAAUGGAUAUCUUGGUUCUC
rnacentral:misc_RNA from 1 species